rnacentral:rRNA from 1 species
CAGAUGGCGGCCGGCGCACGGGUGAGUAACACGUAUCCAACCUGCCGCUUACUCGGGGAUAGCCUUUCGAAAGAAAGAUUUAAUACCCGAUGGUAUAAAGAGUUCGCAUGUUCUCUUUAUUAAAGAAUUUCGGUAAGCGAUGGGGAUGCGUUCCAUUAGAUAGUUGGCGGGGUAACGGCCCACCAAGUCUACGAUGGAUAGGGGUUCUGAGAGGAAGGUCCCCCACAUUGGAACUGAGACACGGUCCAAACUCCGUACGGGAGGCAGCAGGUGAGGAAUAUUGGGUCAAUGGACGAGAGUCUGAACCAGCCAAAGUAGCGUGAAGGAUGACUGCCCUAUGGGUUGUAAACUUCUUUUAUAAGGGAAUAAAGUGAGGGACGUGUCCCUUUUUGUAUGUACCUUAUGAAUAAGGAUCGGCUAACUCCGUGCCAGCCGCCGC